rnacentral:rRNA from 1 species
UACGUAAGAGACUAGUGUUAAUCAUCAUAAAUAGGUUUAAAGGGUACUCAGACGGAAAAUAUUCGCCUAAAAAAGGGACAAUUUUCUAGAGUUUUAUGUAAGAAGAUCGUACUCUAGAGUGUAGAGAUCAUAUUUGUUGAUACCUAGGGGACUGGUAAAGGCGAAGGCAAUCUUUUAUGUAAAAACUGACGUCGAAGGACGAAGGCAAAGGGCACGAACAGG